AUGUUCUCUGUAGCUCUGCUGCUGCUGUUGGCAGCUGGAUCCUUUGAGUCUCUCUGGAUUUGUCAUAGUGUGAAGUGUGAACAGUUGAAACAGCCAGCUUCAGUGACUGUGCAGCCAGGUCAACGUCUGACCAUCACCUGUCAGGUCUCUUAUUCUGUUAGCACCUACGCUACAGCUUGGAUCAGACAGCCUGCAGGGAAAGGACUGGAGUGGAUUGGAGAAUAUGCAGGCUGUGUUUUGUUGAUUGUCUUAACAGGUGUUGAUGGUCAGACUCUGACAGAAUCUGAACCAGCAGUUAAAAAGCCUGGAGAAUCCCACAAACUGACCUGUACAACCUCUGGAUUCACAUUCAGCAGCUACUGGAUGCACUGGAUCAGACAGGCUCCUGGAAAAGGACUGGAGUGGAUUGCUUUUAUCACUACUGGUGGUGGUAGCAGCAAAUUCUACUCUCAGUCAGUUCAAGGCCGGUUCACCAUCUCCAGAGACAACAGCAGAGAGCAGCUGUAUCUGCAGAUGAACAGUCUGAAGACUGAAGAUUCUGCUGUUUAUUAUUGUGCUCGAGUUAUCAAAAUGGACUAUGAGUAUGAACUGUGGUGUGCUUGUUAUACAUAA